rnacentral:rRNA from 1 species
ACAGCAGUCGCCACGGUAAUACGAAGGGGGCUAGCGUUGUUCGGAAUUACUGGGCGUAAAGCGCACGUAGGCGGAUAUUUAAGUCAGGGGUGAAAUCCCAGAGCUCAACUCUGGAACUGCCUUUGAUACUGGGUAUCUUGAGUAUGGAAGAGGUGAGUGGAAUUCCGAGUGUAGAGGUGAAAUUCGUAGAUAUUCGGAGGAACACCAGUGGCGAAGGCGGCUCACUGAUCCAUUACUGACGCUGAGGUGCGAAAGCGUGGGGAGCAAACAGGAUUAGAUACCCGCGUAGUCCCUGUCUCUUAUAC